UUUCCUUUGUUACAUAGUGGACCACACAAAACCCCUCCUUGACCUCAAAAGCAGGUGAUGAUGAUGGAGAGAAGAAGGAAAGAAGAGAGUGAUUCUGUAUAAGAGGCAGUGGGAAAUGCAGUGUACCCCUUGAACGAGGUCUUUUGAGAGGUAUUGAAGGACUAUCCGAGUUAUGCAGAAUUUCCUUUGGUGAACUGCUGCUUUCUCCAGGUCAUGGGUCUUGUUCUAAAUCCAUGUUUCACUGGGCAGAAGAUUUGCUUGAAUGAUCAUGUGUAAGACUCAAGGACUAAAUCCAGAGGUAUAUGAGCAGGUUAGUGAGCAGCUCUGCCUCACGGUGGAAGUCCUUGCGGGCAUUGUCGCUGGCAUCCUUCAGUGUCUGAUGGAGAAAAUGAAAAUGUAAAGGACAGAUGUUUACAGAAGGUAGGGAACAUGUAGGACAGCACUGUAAGGGUAAGACACCGAUAUUCUACAGCACAGAGGAUGAAAAAAACACACAGCCCAGUACAAGCAUCCCAGGACACCAGUCUGAGAAGUAGGACCUAAAAGAAACUUACAUUCAGAGACUGAGUCAUAUUCAAGCCUGGUGGAAGUGAGUAUAAAGACAAAUGAAGAGGAAUACAUCUUCUUUGCUAAAACAAGUUUGGUGAGGGAGCAGAGGUCUCCACUAUGUAUAGCCCCUUGCAACUGGUCUACACGACACGCAGCCCAGGGCCCCUUGGCCUUUAGCAGACCAGAGCCAAUGCCAUGUCCUGUAUGUUUCCAUGGCCAUGGGCAGUGAGGCAUCAGUCACAGACGUAGCCGGUCUGUCAAAUGGAGGUACAUUUAAAGUAGCAUCAGAGAGUGCCUUGGUUCCACCAUGGACAACAAACCCAUACAUCUGUUUCUGGGCAAAGCUUCCUUUAGAUAUUGUUUAAAUAAAGGCUUAUUUGUAAACUCCCAGUAAAUCCCCUCCCACAUAUCAAUAAAACUUUAUUUUAGAGAAAAAGAAUGAACACAGAUACAUUAAUCAAAAGUUAACUACACAGUAUGUCGGCAUCUAACGAAAAAGAAAGACCUGUACUCCUUUAGGAUAACAGCUUCCCACAUAGUCCAGUGUGAUAACUGUCAAACCCCCUGUACCAACAGUGACAAAACAACAACAAAUGGUAUCUUUUAAAGCUGUGACCCAUGACGAAGUUCAGGACAAGUUCAGUCUCUGCCAAUAUGUUUUCACUACCUAAAAGCAUCUUGGUUUUGACUUGAUAAUUACAGUCUGCUGAGCCAAGCAGCUGUCACUAAGGAACAGGAGCUGCCCAAAUGAAGCAAAAUGCAUAGAAGUUUACUGCUGAUUUAUCACACAAUAAUGAACCCAGUUACAGCCUUUUGAGGCAUGGAACUGAAAAACAAAAAGAGAGAGGGGAAAAAAAAAAGAGGAAAGAGAGGAAGAAAGAGCUUUGAACAUUUUGUUCCAGUCAGUUUCCAAGAACGAAGAAAACACCAGGCAUGAUUCAAUCAAAGGAUGCCCUCCCACAGUCCCGCUGUUGCUGGAGAAGUGGCCACUGGGCAGAUAACUGAGACACGUAUUUCUCAAAGCACACAGACCCAGUCUUUGCUGAGACAUAAACUCUUGCUGAUGGCAGCACAUAUACAUACCAGGGUAAACAAGAACGGCAGAAAUGGCUGAAUGAACUUUAUUCAGAAUCUGACAUACGAUGUCAGUAUAAUGAAUGUCACCUAAAGAAGAGUAUUACACUCACAAGCAGACUGAGUUGUCAGCUCUGACCAAUUAUUACCAGUUAAUUUUAUGUUGAUAGCUAGUACAUAUAUAUGAUAUUCUGUAAAAGCUUAAUAGCUGUCACUAUAAAACAUAGUUCUCUUUCUCCCCUGUGCUCCUCAUAUUUGGGAAGUACUUUCAGUUGAAUCCUCUUCAGUACUUGUUGCAGACUGAAAUUAAUGCAAAUGUAAUUCUAGCAAUCUCUGCAAGACACCAAAAAUGCAUGAAGCAGAAAAGUUCUUUUCUCACCUACCAUCUCUAUGACUAUUGCUCUUAAAAACCAGAACUGUUUUGUUCCAACUACUGUACACCAUGAUAUUUACAGCAACUGUAGUAUCCACAGAACUAAGAUAGACAAAAUGUAGGGUUUUUCUCCCCUUUCUUCUGAAGUUCAAGUUCCCUCCCAGAGCAAUAAAUACCAUGCCUACAUAGUCAUGUACUUGGGAAACAUUUUGAGCAGCAGUAACCAACACAAACAGCUGCUACAUUUGUUGAACUGAAUGGCAGACUUCCUGGUGUGCUUAUCAGUAACGGAAAUAUUAAAAAUUGCCAUAAUUUUUAUUGUUACUAAUGGAACAGCUAGAUUUUUGCCUCAAGUUGCUGGAACUGACAGUUGCAGCUAAGGAAGUGGGUGUUGUACUUUGGUAAGCACCCAGUCUGCACUUAGCUAAAACACAGAGAUACACAAAGCAUUAUUAUUAACCCUACAGACAAGACGUUACCAUGGUACAUUAACAGACCACUUUACAAGCAGUGUUUAUUAAUUACUGCCCCCUGCAAGACCACCACCAGCAGGAGAGCAAGCACAGACCUGCUUUUAGGAGAGACCUGUCUGAAGUCUGUUGCGAAACUGGAGGAUAAUUUGCCUUUUGAUAGUCCAACAUCCACAAAAUGGCCCUCAAGCAGUUUCCCGGACUCUAUUUCUAGCCUGUUCUUCUGGUCAGAAUUUUAAAUAGAAGACGAAGGGUCAGAAAGUAACAAUUGUUUAUAAACAAUGUCAGUACUUCUUGGGUAGUCUUUCUUGUGUUUUCCCACGUACAACUGUCAACUAACUUAUAGGUUAGUGUGUUGUUUUCACCAUUGCUUGUCACAUUUAUUCUUCCCUUGUAACAUUUUCUUCAGUAAGAGAACUGUAAUUCAGCCACAUGUUCCAAGAAUAUAACAGGUU